GGCUCAGUAACACGUGGACAACCUACCCUUAGGUCGGGGAUAAACCCGGGAAACUGGGUAUAAUACCCGAUAGAUCUCGGCUGCUGGAAUGCACCGAGCUCUAAAGCUCCGGCGCCUAAGGAUGGGUCUGCGGCCUAUCAGGUAGUAGUGGGUGUAGCGUACCUACUAGCCUACGACGGGUACGGGUUGUGAGAGCAAGAGCCCGGAGAUGGAUUCUGAGACACGAAUCCAGGCCCUACGGGGUGCAGCAGGCGCGAAAACUUUACAAUGCUGGCAACAGCGAUAAGGGGACCUCGAGUGCCAGGAUACAAUCUUGGCUGUCGCGAUGCCUAAAAAGCAUUGCAUAGCAAGGGCCGGGCAAGACCGGUGCCAGCCGCCGCGGUAAUACCGGCGGCUCGAGUGGUGGCCACUAUUAUUGGGCUUAAAGCGUUCGUAGCUGGAUUGUUAAGUCUCUUGGGAAAUCUACCGGCUUAACCGAUAGGCGUCCAAGGGAUACUGGCAAUCUAGGGACCGGGAGAGGUGAGGGGUACUUCAGGGGUAGGAGUGAAAUCCUGUAAUCCUUGGGGGACCACCUGUGGCGAAGGCGCCUCACCA
rnacentral:rRNA from 1 species